rfam:Gossypium hirsutum cultivar TM-1 chromosome 19, whole genome shotgun sequence
AACCCAUGGUGAGGGCACCUUCUUAAUAGGUCAUUGUAUCUCUCUCAUGCAUCAUAAAGAGUUUUUAAAUCCAUCUGCACAAAAGAAGAAAUAUCAUUUCUUCAUUU